GACGAACGCUGGCGGCGUGCUUAACACAUGCAAGUCGUACGGUAAGGCCCUUUCGGGGGUACACGAGUGGCGAACGGGUGAGUAACACGUGAGUAACCUGCCCACAACUUUGGGAUAACGCUAGGAAACUGGUGCUAAUACUGGAUAUGUGCUCCUGCUGCAUGGUGGGGGUUGGAAAGCUCCGGCGGUUGUGGAUGGACUCGCGGCCUAUCAGCUUGUUGGUGGGGUAGUGGCCUACCAAGGCGGCGACGGGUAGCCGGCCUGAGAGGGUGACCGGCCACAUUGGGACUGAGAUACGGCCCAGACUCCUACGGGAGGCAGCAGUGAGGAAUAUUGCACAAUGGGCGCAAGCCUGAUGCAGCAACGCCGCGUGCGGGAUGACGGCCUUCGGGUUGUAAACCGCUUUCAGCAGGGACGAAGCUUUUUGUGACGGUACCUGCAGAAGAAGCACCGGCUAACUACGUG
rnacentral:rRNA from 1 species